AUGAUGAUGGUGACCCAUAACAGAAGGUGUUAAUUGUUUGUUUUGUUUAUGUAUUUUCCAAAUUAUAGUUAUUGUUUGGUUAACAAAGUCUUGAGAUAGGCUAGCAAAUCAUUUUUUCAAUGUGAGGUCAUUUUUACCAUUUUUUUUUAAUUCAUCAAUUUAGUGCCUUUAUAUGUGACAAAUGAAUUCAUGAUGUCUAAUGUGAACAUGUUCGAUGAUAUACCAAUUGAUAUUUUUCUUCCUUUUUAAUUUAAUUAUUAUUUUUAUUUUUCUAUAUUUUGAUCCAAAUUUUCAACCAAUUCGAUGAGAUGCGCCUUAGUUUUUUAUUAUUUUAAUUUAGCUAUUAAAUUUUUUAUUAAGUGUUGAUCCAACAAUGAAACAUGUUUCGAUGAAAUGCCUCUGUGAAUAGUUUUAUUCUUCUUUUUACGAUUUAAUUAUUGAUUUCUAUAUGAUUUUGUGAUGAAGACACACAAGGGCUCCAAAGAAAAGCAAAACAAAUAAUUUGAGUUGAAGGACUUUUCAGAAAAGUCCAAAGUCAAAUGUCAAAUGUGAGAAAGUUAAUUGCACAUCUAAUUUAUUGGUGCAUAGGUAAUGGGGAACAUUAGCUUUGGUGGGUGGGUGUUUUUGGUGUGCGUUAGGAAUAACGUGAUGCAUUGCUACUCGAGAUAAUUGAAGGUGUUAAUACGAUUUGGAUAGUUCAAUUCGCAAGGUUGUUUUGGUUCAUGUGGUAUAUUUCUUUUCUUUUCUUUCGGAGGUAUUGGAGUAUUUUCUGUAUGAUUUAAGAAACAACCAGGUUGGUCCGCAUUGGUUCUUUUGGCAGAAUGACAUGACUUAGCAAAAGAUAGCAUGGGUCAUCAUGAGUUAGGAAGCUAAGUUCAAGAUGGCUCGGAUGAAGAUGGGCUAAGCGGUGGUCACUGACAAAGGCCCAAGUUUUGCAGAGGGUUCAGGGGCAUUGGUAAGAAAGUCGGGAAACAAAAGGUAAUAUUACCACGGUGAGACGAAGGAUAGAAGGCGAGAAAUAAAAUAAUAGUAGAUAGUACACAAUAUUAUUCAAGAGUACAAUGUAAUCUUUAGAGACUUAUAAUUUUUGCUUACUUAUUACGAAUUCAUUGUAAUUUAAUAUUUACUUAACUUAUGGAAUGUUUCUU
rnacentral:lncRNA from 1 species